GACGAACGCUGGCGGCGUGCCUAAUACAUGCAAGUAGGACGCAGUUGCGAACGGGUGAGUAACGCGUAGGUAACUGCCUAUUAGAGGGGGAUAACUAUUGGAAACGAUAGCUAAUAACGCAUACUAGUAGAUGGACCUGCGUUGUAUUAGAUAGUAGGUAGGGUAAUGGCCUACCUAGGCUACUAUACAUAGCCGACCUGAGUAGGGGAUCGGCCAACCGUGGACUGAGACACGGCCCAGACCCCUACGGGAUGCAGCAGUAGGGAAUCUUCGGCAAUGGGGGGAACCCUGACCGAGCAACGCCGCGUGAUUGAAGAAGGUUUUCGGAUCGUAAAGCUCUUGUGUUAAGGUAGCGGUACUUAACCAGAAAGGGACGGCUAACUACGUGCCAGCAGCCGCGGUAAUAC
rnacentral:rRNA from 1 species